UUCUCGCACGUUCUACCAAUUUUUGGUCUUGCCAUUUUGGUUUCUCAAAGACAUUCAAAUAUCAGAAAAGGUAAAGCAAACUCUCCUUGAGUGUGCAAUUAUCUCAGGUAUAUUUGAUGUAUGGAUGCAUCAUCACCAGUGCAGUUGCCUUUAUGGUAUUAUGUGUUACAAUACAAAGGCGGCAUCUGAUGGUAUGGGGAUUAUUUGCCCCAAAAUAUGUUUUUGACGUGGUGGGUCUUAUCCUGACAGACGUCCUU